GGGUUGUGAGGUUAAGCGACUAAGCGUACACGGUGGAUGCCCUGGCAGUCAGAGGCGAUGAAGGACGUGCUAAUCUGCGAAAAGCGUCGGUAAGGUGAUAUGAACCGUUAUAACCGGCGAUGUCCGAAUGGGGAAACCCAGUGCAAUUCGUUGCACUAUCGUUAACUGAAUACAUAGGUUAACGAGGCGAACCGGGGGAACUGAAACAUCUAAGUACCCCGAGGAAAAGAAAUCAACCGAGAUUCCCCCAGUAGCGGCGAGCGAACGGGGAG
rnacentral:rRNA from 1 species